CCUACGGGGGGCAGCAGUAGGGAAUAUUGCUCAAUGGGGGAAACCCUGAAGCAGCAACGCCGCGUGGAGGAUGAAGGUUUUCGGAUUGUAAACUCCUUUUGUUAGAGAAAAUAAUGACGGUAUCUAACGAAUAAGCACCGGCUAACUCCGUGCAAACAGCCGCGGUAAUACGGAGGGUGCAAGCGUUACUCGGAAUCACUGGGCGUAAAGAGCGCGUAGGCGGGCUAGCUAGUCCGCUGUGAAAUCCUAUGGCUUAACCAUAGAACUGCAUUUGAAACUGUUAUUCUAGAGUAGGGGAGAGGGAGGUGGAAUUCUCGGUGUAGGGGUAAAAUCCGUAGAUAUCAAGAGGAAUACUCAUUGCGAAGGCGACCUGCUAGAACAUAACUGACGCUGAUGCGCGAAAGCGUGGGGAUCAAACAGGAUUAGAUACCCUAGUAGUC
rnacentral:rRNA from 1 species